GAUGAACGCUGGCGGCGUGCUUAACACAUGCAAGUCGAGCGAAGCGCUUAAGUCUGAUUCUUCGGAUGAAGACUUUUGUGACUGAGCGGCGGACGGGUGAGUAACGCGUGGGUAACCUGCCUCAUACAGGGGGAUAACAGUUAGAAAUGACUGCUAAUACCGCAUAAGACCACGGUACCGCAUGGUGCAGUGGUAAAAACUCCGGUGGUAUGAGAUGGACCCGCGUCUGAUUAGGUAGUUGGUGGGGUAACGGCCUACCAAGCCGACGAUCAGUAGCCGACCUGAGAGGGUGACCGGCCACAUUGGGACUGAGACACGGCCCAGACUCCUACGGGAGGCAGCAGUGGGGAAUAUUGCACAAUGGAGGAAACUCUGAUGCAGCGACGCCGCGUGAAGGAUGAAGUAUUUCGGUAUGUAAACUUCUAUCAGCAGGGAAGAAAAUGACGGU
rnacentral:rRNA from 1 species